rnacentral:rRNA from 1 species
AUUGAACGCUGGCGGCAGGCCUAACACAUGCAAGUCGAACGAGUGGCGGACGGGUGAGUAAUGUCUGGGCAACUGCCUGAUGGGGGGGGAUAACUACUGGACCCGGUAGCUAAUACCGCAUACCAUCAGAUGUGCCCAGAUGGGAUUCGCUUGUUGGUGGGGUAACGGCUCACCAAGGCGACGCUCCCUAGCUGGUCUGAGAGGAUGACCAGCAACACGGGAACUGAGACACGGUCCAGACUCCGACGGGAGGCAGCAGUGGGGAAUAUUGCACAAUGGGCGCAAGCCUGAUGCAGCCAUGCCGGGUGUAUGAAGAAGGCCUUCGGGUUGUAAAGUACUUUCAGCGGGGAGGCGUUACCCGCAGAAGAAGCACCGGCUAACUCCGUGCCAGCAGCCGCGGUAAUUC